AUGAGAGCACAGUCUGAUCCAUGGUUCUCAGAUUUUCUUAUGAGAAUUGGAAAUGGCACUGAAGAAUCGAUUGGUGAAGAUUAUGUGCGUCUACCAGAAGAAAUAGUUGUGAGAUAUACAGAUUCAAAAACCUCCAUCAACAACUUAAUCGAUGAUGUCUUUCCUUCACUUUACCAGAAUGGAGGAUUAACUUCUUAUAUUAGUUCCCGUGCUAUUCUUUCUACUAAAAAUGAGUAUGUCGAUGAAUUAAACGGGAUGCUUAUAAAGCGGUUUCCCGGGGAAGAAAAAGUCUACUAUAGCUUUGAUUCAGCAGUGGAUGACACACAAAAUCACUACCCACCUGAAUUCUUGAAUUCUUUCACACCUAAUGGCCUGCCUCCACAUGUACUCAGAUUGAAGAUCAAUUGUCCUGUGAUAUUGAUUCGCAAUUUGGAUCCAUCUAAUGGGCUAUGCAAUGGCACGAGGCUUAUUGUUAAGGCAUUUCAAGAUAAUGCUAUUGAUGCAGAAAUUAUAGGAGGACACCAUGCUGGAAAGCGAGUAUUUCUUCCCCGAAUUCCUCUCUACCCCUCUGAAGAUGAUGUGCUUCCCUUUAAGUUUAAAAGAAAGAAAUUUCCUAUCCGCCUUAGCUUUGCAAUGACAAUCAAUAAAGCACAGGGUCAAACCAUUCCAAAUGUUGGCAUCUACCUUCCAGAACCUGUGUUCUCUCAUGGCCAACUGUAUGUUGCUUUGUCUAGAGGAGUAUCAAGGCAUACAACAAGAAUUGCCAAGCCAAGCAAGGACAUCGACCCAUCAGGGAAAAGUACAAAAAAUAUUGUCUAUAAGGAUGUUUUGUUAUGUUAA
rnacentral:rRNA from 1 species